GUGUCGCAGGAAAGGAGAGCUUGUUGGCACUCCCCUGGGCAAGGACGGACACACAUACCCGCUUAUGGCACGCAUAAGCAACAAUUUUU
rnacentral:ncRNA from 1 species